UACUUAAUCUAUAUUACCUAUGCGUUACACAACAUAUCUUGUAUAGAAAUCCGAUGCAUAACUGCAUGUAGUAAAAAUUAUAAUUAUAGGCAAAGGAAGUGUUUAAAUACCAAAACACCUCUCCCCCUCAUUAUCUACACCACUGGUACUAUUUACACUAAUCCAAGAAAAAAGGCGAGAGAGACAGGGGCAGAGAGACGAAUAGAUGGCGUAGUCAUGAUAUCGACCGUUUAGAUUAAAUUUUAAUUCAGACACCCGAAAAUAAAACGUAAAACAAUGUAGACAAAUUUCAUUUCAUUCGCCAAAAUAAAAUUGCUUU